rnacentral:tRNA from 1 species
GCCUUCGUGGUAUAACGGUAGCACACUCGUCACAUAUUCGAGAGACAUAGGUUCGAGUCCCGGCGAGGGUA